ACUCCUCGGGAGGCAGCAGUGGGGAAUAUUGCACGAAAUGGGCGCAAGCCUGAUGCAGCCAUGCCGCGUGUAUGAAGAAGGCCUUCGGGUUGUAAAGUACUUUCAGCAGUGAGGAAGGUGGGUAUGUUAAUAGCAUAUUCAUUUGACGUUAGCUGCAGAAGAAGCACCGGCUAACUCCGUGCCAGCAGCCGCGGUAAUACGGAGGGUGCGAGCGUUAAUCGGAAUUACUGGGCGUAAAGCGCAUGCAGGUGGUUGUUAAGUCAGAUGUGAAAGCCCGGGGCUCAACCUCGGAAUUGCAUUUGAAACUGGGCAAACUAGAGUACUGUAGAGGGGGGUAGAAUUUCAGGUGUAGCGGUGAAAUGCGUAGAGAUCUGAAGGAAUACCGGUGGCGAAGGCGGCCCCCUGGACAGAUACUGACACUCAGAUGCGAAAGCGUGGGGAGCAAACAGGAUUAGAUACCCUGGUAGACUCAGC
rnacentral:rRNA from 1 species